GGCAGGUUGGGCUCGUGAGCCGUCAUAGGUAAUACACCUAGGAGAGCAAACUCCGAACAAUAAACCCGGGCAGGUUGGGCUCGUGAGCCGUCAUAGGUAAUACACCUAGGAGAGCAAACUCCGAACAAUAAACCCGGGCAGGUGGAGGUCGUUAGCGAAAGCAAUUCAUCUAGGAGAGCAAACUCCGAUUACAAACCCGGGCAGGUGGAGGUCGUUAGCGAAAGCAGUUCACCUAGGAGAGCAAACUCCGAUUACAAACCCGGGCAGGUGAGGUUCGUUAGCCGUGGUAGGCAAUUCACCUAGGAGAGCAAACUCCGAACAAUAAACCCGGGCAGGUUGGGCUCGUGAGCCGUCAUAGGUAAUACACCUAGGAGAGCAAACUCCGAACAAUAAACCCGGGCAGGUGGAGCUCGUCAGCCGUGGUAGGCAGUCUGCCUAGGAGAGCAAACUCCGAACAAUAAACCCGGGCAGGUGGAGCUCGUCAGCCGUGGUAGGCAGUCUGCCUAGGAGAGCAAACUCCGAACAAUAAACCGGGGCUUGUGGUGCUCGUUA